UACGGAGGGGGCUAGCGUUGUUCGGAAUUACUGGGCGUAAAGCGUACGUAGGCGGCUUUGUAAGUUAGAGGUGAAAGCCCAGAGCUCAACUCUGGAAUUGCCUUUAAGACUGCAUCGCUUGAAUCGUGGAGAGGUUAGUGGAAUUCCGAGUGUAGAGGUGAAAUUCGUAGAUAUUCGGAAGAACACCAGUGGCGAAGGCGACUACCUGGCCUGUUCUUGACGCUGAGGCGCGAAAGCUAGGGGAGCAAACGGG
rnacentral:rRNA from 1 species